rnacentral:rRNA from 1 species
GAUGAACGCUGGCGGCGUGCCUAAUACAUGCAAGUCGAGCGAACGGACGAGAAUCUUGCUAUUCUUAUGUUAGCAGCGGACGGGUGAGUAACACGUGUAUAACCUAUCUAUAAGACUGGGAUAACUUCGGGAAACCGGAGCUAUUAUCGGAUAAUAUUUUGAACCGCAUGGUUCAAAAGUUAAAGACGGUCUUGCUGUCACUUAUAGAUGGAUCCGCGCUGCAUUAGCUAGUUGGUAAGGUAACGGCUUACCAAGGCAACGAUGCAUAGCCGACCUGAGAGGGUGAUAGGCCACACUGGAACUGAGACACGGUCCAGACUCCUACGGGAGGCAGCAGUAGGGAAUCUUACGCAAUGGGCGAAAGCCUGACGGAGCAACGCCGCGUGAGGGAUGGAGGUCUUCGGAUCGUAAAACUCUGUUAUUAGGGAAGAACAUGUGUGUAAUUAACUGUGCACAUCUUGACGGUACCUAAUCAGAAAGCCACGGCUAACUACGUG